rnacentral:rRNA from 1 species
UACGUAGGGGGCAAGCGUUGUCCGGAUUUAUUGGGCGUAAAGAGCGUGUAGGCGGCCAGGUAGGUCUGCUGUGAAAACUCGAGGCUUAACCUCGAGCUGUCGGCGGAAACCAUCUGGCUAGAGUCCGGAAGAGGAGAAUGGAAUUCCCGGUGUAGCGGUGAAAUGCGUAGAUAUCGAGAGGAACACCAGAGGUGAAGACGGGUUGCUGGGCUGACACUGACGCUGAGGCGCGAAAGCCAGGGGAGCAAACGGG